AUUUUCUAAUACUUUUUUUUCUUCUACGAUUAUCCUGUGUUUACAUUCAUGUGAUAUACCAUGCUUUUAGUAAUAAUACAGUGACGGAUAAUUGAAUAUCGACGAUGGCAUCGGGGUUAGAGAGCUACGUGAAUCAUACAGUUUCUAUUAUUACUUCGGACGGUAGAAACUUUAUUGGCACAUUAAAAGGUUUUGAUCAAACAAUUAAUAUUAUAUUGGAUGAAUCACAUGAGAGAGUAUAUAGCACAACGCAAGGUGUAGAACAAGUUGUUUUGGGUUUACAUAUCAUCAGAGGAGAUAAUGUAGCAAUUGUAGGAGAACUAGAUGAUGAAAUGGAUGCACGUCUAGAUUUAUCAGCUAUUAGAGCUGAUCCAUUAAGCCCUAUAACACAUUGAAAGUAUAUAUUACAUGAAAUGUUUGAACUAUAAGGGCAAGUAUGCAAAUUUGUUAUAGUCUAAUCAGGUAGAUUAAUAUAUACAAACUAUUAUAUGAUCUGAUAGAAUUUUAUAAAUUCUAAGAAAAUUUUGAAUUCCAAGAAAUUAUCCAAUUAACAACAAAAUAUAAAUUAUCUAAAUACCUUCUGGAUUACCACACUUAUAAAAAAUUAUUCUAUAUAUAACAGAUUUGUAAAAUUGAUACACUAUUUUUUUACAAAAUAUAACAUUUUUGCAUUAGGGUUUAUAUAUAUUGUAAUUUUAUUUGUAUUAAAAAAUCUGAAAAAGUAAGCUGGACUUCGUGCCAAUUAUAAUACAUCGUAUUAAAUAUAAAUAUGUUUUAUAGAAUCAAUGUAUUAUUUACUACAUAUUCUUUGCUUAUGGAUAUACAAAAUGUGUUCAACAAAAGUCAGCAGAAAUGAUGCUGUUUGUGUUGUAGAAAAAUUCAAGUAAAUUAAGAAUGAUAUAUAUAUAUAUAUAUAUAUAUAUAUAUAUAUAUAUUCCAUUUUUUAAUUUAUUAAAAUUUAUUAUGCUCAUGAGAGUUAAUUUAAAGGGAACUAUUUACUUUCUAUAACAUAAUUUAAUAUUUGCCAGUUGAACAUUAGAUUUAUAAUUGCACCAAACUUUUUUUUUAUAUAUUGUAAUUAAGAUAAUGUAAUACAAUAAAUAAAAACAGGAACUAAGAUAUUAUUUUGUGUUUUAAUCUAUUAGCAAAAUCUAUACAAAAAUUAGUCCUACAAAAGUGAGAAAAUCACAUAUAGAACAAUGCUUAAAUAAAUCAAAUGUUAAAAUUGUAAAUGGUGCAUUUAUAACUGAAUUUUGUAUAAUCAAAAAGCAAAGAUGGCAUGUUGAAUUUCUUAAAUGAAACAUUUAGUAUGUAUAUAUGCGCGCAAGUGUGUAUAUGUACUAUAUAUUGGAAGACAUAACAAAAAUAUAAAUCAAUUAGAGUACAAUCUAAUAUUUUCCUAUUCUGCGUACCUUAAUUACUAAAUGUCUUUUUGAAGUAAUCAUAAAUACAUGAUAUAUACAGAUCUUCCUUAAAAUUUAAUUAUCUGUAUUAUCAAAAACAAUAUUUUCCAACUUUAUUUGUUCUAUAUUGUGUUUACUCUAUAUGCAUUUAGCCUUAAGAGCAGAACACAAAACAGUGCAAUUAUCGGCACUACAUAUACACACUGUAUGUUCGAUUUUAUAUAUUAAAGUAUGUAAGGACAAUUCCUACUGUCAAACAUUUGUACAGUUGACAAUAAAAUAAUUGAAGCGAACCAUAUAGCUCAUUGCAUUAUAUAACAAUGCGUGCUAUGCUAGUAUAAUCAUACAUAUGAGAAUUAUCAUCAGGUACUUAAGUUAUGUACCUACACAAAUGGAUGAAUUAUUGCAUUAAUUAUUGGUCACAAUGUUGGUCCUGUUACGAUUUCGUCUCCUAACACGACCACCACGUCUACUCUGAUUUGCACCGUUCCAAUCAGGUCCACUAUCCAUAACAAAAUUUGGAGGAUUUGGCCCAUUUGGAUUGAAACCCAUUAAGCUAGGAUCUGCAGGACCAGUAUUUGGACCAAAAUUGUUAAAAUUACCUCCAGUAUAUGGGGGAGGCCCAUCAUAUGCAGGAGCAACAUCAGGUCCAAAACCUACACCAGGAGCAGGACCUAAAAGUCCAGCUCCAUUAUUGCGUUGUGCAUUAUAACGUGGAUCAUAGUUCAUUUGAUUUUGUGACAUGACUGGUCCAUUCAUAUUCAUUGUUGGUGUCAUGUUUGGCAUACUAGUCAUACUCAUUGGAGGCAUAUUUUGUGGACCCAUAGGAGAAUUCAUCAUGGGACCCAUGGGUCCCAUAUUUCCAAGCAUUGGAUUUGGUGACAUAGCCAUCAUAUUUUGUGAUCCUGGCAUAUUUUGUGUAACAGGCAUACCAGGGGGACCAAGAGCCAUAUUAGCCAUUUCCAUUGGUUGUUGCGGAGCACCUUGUAUCAUGGAAGCACUAACAUUCUGUGAGGAUUGAUUAGAAACUUCGAGCGCUUUUCUUCGUGGAUCGGAUCGAAUUUGUGGAGGUGAUUUUGGUGUGUCUGGCUUCAUUGGUGGUGGAGACAUAGGAGAAUCAGCUAUUUCAGCUUUACUAACACGGAAAAUUUUUCUAAGACGAGGAUCAUAUUUCACUUGUGGAUCAUUUUUUUGCAUGGGAUAUGUGAAGGAGCUGGUUUGAAUGGCAAACUUAACAUUUGUCGCAGAUCAACGUCCGAUUUAGUGGAUGUAUCUGUAAAUCCUGCACCAACUACUCUAAGAUCUGUAUCUCCAAAUCCAGUUUGGAAACGUUGCCUAAAAUCCAUGUCUUUUCUUCGAAGAUCUUGAUCUGCCCUAGUUCUAAGAUCUGUAUCCAUGAUCUAUCCUAUUUGGACUACUUGGUUUCUGUUCAUCUCGGCGUUGUCGAGGAUCUCUGGACAUUCGAGGAUCUCUAGAUACAGGAGCUACUGUUGAACUUGUACCAGGCGACGACCUAGGACUUGAUGCUUCAUUUUCAAUUUUAGAAAUUUGAUUUGAAACACCAAAUGUAGAAUUAUUAGCUACUUUAGUAACAGGAUUGUAUUCAGUUGCAGAAUUAUUUGUAUCUUGUGUAGAUUUCAUUUUUGAAACUGAAGAUUCUUGAGUAUUUAUAGUGCUAUUUUGUUGAGUUUGUAGAGUUUUACCAUUUGUUGAACUUUGUGCUUUAAGAGAUGAUAAUAAUUUAGAUACUUCUGCACUAAUAUCAAUUUUACUUAAGUCUCCAAGUUUAUCUACAAUAGCUGCUGGUUGAGGUAUACUUGGUGCAGAAGAUGCAGAUUGAAAUUGUUCUUUUAUUAUAAUAUUUUGGCCCUUUUCAGAUGGCUCAGAUUCGUCUUUUGAAGCAUCUUUCGAAGAAAGUACUAUAGUUAAAUUACCACCAUCGUCGUCGUCAUCAUCGUCCGAAUACCAAUCUUCUAAAAUCUGAUCUGUACUACGUGCAUUGUUCUCAUCUUCCACAUUUUUAAAGCUAUCCUGUGCAGCACGUUGUUGCUGCUGGAUACGUAAAAAUAAUUCUUGAGCUUUUUUUGGUAAAUGGGAUGGAACUUCUUGUUCUUCCGCAGAAGGUGAAGCUACACUCGAAAUAUUGCCUUGUUCGUUUGAUAUCGAGGAUUCUAUAACAAAUAAAUCAAUAUAAUUAAAAGAUCUAUAUAUACAUGUUCUCAUUUAUAAGAACAUUAUUAAUUUUUAAAUUAAUAUAAUUCAUUUGCAACGCUUAAAUAAUAAAUGUCAGCAAAAAUUUUAUAAUAUUAUCACACCUUUUCGUGGUUCUACUACUUUCUCUUUAUCAUCAUCUUCAAUUGGCAUUUCAAUAACAAGCUCGGUUUCAUCAUCUUGAUCACUUUCUUCAUCGAGCUUGGAUUUACUAAGAUUUGCAACUUCAUCAGCUAUACUAACCACAGGUGGUGGUUUUUUUGAACCUUUUAGUAACUCCCUCAAAUCUAUAUCCUUUGAAUUUUCAUUAGUUGACGUAUUUUUUCUUUUCGCCUGUAAAUUUAUAAUAAUUAACUUAUGAAUAUGAGUGAAAUGUUUCUAAACAAUUAUAUAGUAUUUAUUGUUAUAGCGUAAAUCAAACUUAUAUCUAAUAUCUUAUAUCUUACUUGUGCUAAAAUUUCAUCUUCUUCUACAUCCUUUGUAAAAUCUUCUUUAUCUUUGAAUUUAUUUACAGUUGUUUUAUUAGAAUCUGCAUUAGUUUCAGUGUAAAAAUCCAUGCUUGGAACACAUGACUGCAAUACUUGACUUUGUUGCAAUUGCUGCUGAGUCGCUAAACCUAAAGCUGCAUUAGGCAAUUGAAUACCAAGUUCAUUAGCUGAUUGUAAUAACAUAAUUUGUUCAUAUGGUACUCUAUCUUCAUCAGAUCCCCAACGUGUCUUUUUCCCAGAAGGUUUUCUUUCCCUAACAGUGCUUUUCUGUUGAUUGGAUGUUUCCUCUAUAAUAAUAAUUAAAAUAUUAACAUUUGAUCCUGAUUCUCCAUUAGACGCGCGCGCGCGCGCGUGUGUGUGUGUGUAUGUGUGUGUUCACCUUUGUCAUCCUUGUUUUCAUUUUUAUCUAAAGUAUUUGUUGGUGCAGGCACAUUCAAAUCAAAUAAACUAGGAAUUUUCUGAUUCGUUGUAUCUUGUCCUUGGGCGAGUGCUGUAGCUGUAUUAUUUAUCAUUAACAUUGCUCUUUCUCUACUCAAACGUGGAAAAUCCCCAAGAAUUUCUUUUGGUGCAGUUUCAAGAUGUUUCAAAAGAAUUCCUUUUACCUAUAACAAUAUCGAAAUAUGUAUAUAUUAUUUUUAUAUUAAAUUUUCAUAGAAAAUA